GUGCUUGCUUCAGAAACACAUAUACUAAAAUUGAAACAAUACAGAGUAGAUUGGCACGGCCCCUGCACAAGGACGACAGGUAAAUUUGUGAAGUGUUCCAUAUUUUU
rnacentral:snRNA from 1 species